rnacentral:rRNA from 1 species
CUACGGGCGGCUGCAGUGGGGAAUAUUGCACAAUGGAGGAAACUCUGAUGCAGCAACGCCGCGUGGAGGAUGACACUUUUCGGAGCGUAAACUCCUUUUAUAUAGGAAGAAGAUGACGGUACUAUAUGAAUAAGCGCCGGCUAACUCCGUGCCAGCAGCCGCAGUAAUACGGAGGGCGCAAGCGUUACUCGGAAUCACUGGGCGUAAAGAGCGUGUAGGCGGAUUAAAAAGUCAGAAGUGAAAUCCUAUAGCUUAACUAUAGAUCUGCUUCUGAAACUCUUAAUCUAGAAUAUGGGAGAGGUAGAUGGAAUUUCUGGUGUAGGGGUAAAAUCCGUAGAGAUCAGAAGGAAUACCGAUUGCGAAGGCGAUCUACUAGAACAUUAUUGACGCUGAGACGCGAAAGCGUGGGGAGCAAACAGGAUUAGAUACCCUUGUAGUC